AGGAGCAGUCCCUAAUUAAGGAUUAAAAUGAAUAUAUCCUUGUUGACGUGGCCUUCUUCGUUUUCGCAUUUUCUGUAGUCUCUCUCUCUCUGGUCUCUCUUUCUCCGUCACUCACUCUCUCACAAUUGAAUUUUUUUUUGUGUUGUGAUUGUGUGUUGAUGUUCUCAAUAAAUCUCUCUCCUUUGUUUCAAGAGAAAUCGUGUUGUUGAUGGUGCUCGAUUGCUGCUUCGUACUCUUCCAAAUCUGUGCCCAGCCAAGAGCGAGAAGGAAAUCGAAGAAUGAUUUCAGAACAACUAUGUUUGAGAGGAAGAAGUCUCCUAAUCGACUUGUUGUCGACGAAGCCAUCAUCAAAAGAAUCUGAGUUUGUGUAUCCUCCUUUCGAUUUCCAUUUUUUGUUACUGCUGAGUCGAUUUCGUUUCACAUAUGACAUCGGAGAAUGGCGUUGUUCUGGUUCAAACUUGUUAAUGAAGUAGAUAGAUGCAUUGAAGCUUCACUUGAAUUGAGAUGAGAAAUUGUGUGAUUUGAUAGAUAGAUGCAUGUGUAUGAUGAAUUUGAAUGUUCUGGCAUGCUCACAAGGAUCUCACAUGCUCUGAAAUUUAGUGUUCACCUGAUGUUUGAAUCUCUCAGAAUGAGAAUGUACGUUUUGUUUUUGCUGGAGUGUUAAUGUUAAAGAUCGCUCUAUCUAAUGCUAUACAUGUUCUUAUUUUUUGGUAGAAAUAUUUAAUAUACAUGUUGCAGAAGUUAUACAAGCUGGUUUGGUCUACAUGUCUUGACAGGAAAACAAGAAGAAGACAAGAAGAAACAAAAGUGGCGCAUCUUCUCCUCAUUGUUUCGUUUGAUGAUAUGCAGAGAGCCAUGCCUACUUUCUCUUCAAUUGCUUUGGAUAGAAUGCUAGAGCCAGGUGCUAGGAUUUAGACGAUUUGGUUUUAUCUGUACUGUUUUUUUCUUUCAGGCCUUUGAAGCUAUACAAAAGAUACUGAGCAUGAGCAAAAACAAGAGGGUUGAUGUUGUUUUACUGGACCGACAGAAAUAGGAGUUCAUCAUCUUUAUCGGUUGAAACUGAAGCUUUUUCCUGAUGAAUCAACUGAAACAAAACCGUGUGCUGAAACACAACGGCACUUGGAGUUGCUUGGAAAAAUUAUUCUCAUUGUCUGAGUUUGUAUGCUUGUGAUAAUCUCUGUUUUGUCAGUCUCAUUGUCUGAGUUUGUAUGCUUGUGAUAAUCUCUUUUUAUAGAUUGUCCGAGCAGAAAGUACAUCUGAAAUCUGGGGAUUAUAUGCGAGAUGGAGUA